GGAAGAUCAAAGCAACUUGUGUUGCGCUGAUAGACAACAACUUAAUAUCUCGAUUUAGAAAAAAAAAAAAUAAUAAAUUCACUUAGUAUAAAAAAAAAAACUCAAGUGGUACAUGACCCUGACCCAAAUCCGACUCGAAACUCAAUAAACCGAACCCGACCACCAUCCCCGGCGCCGGAGUAACCGGAAUAAGACUUGUAGUGGCAUUUCCAGGUGUAGUCUAAAGCUGAGGAAUAUUAGGUUCUCUACUCCUUUGCGCUCUCUUCUACUUACUCCAGCUCUACGUCGAACGACGUCGCUCUCCAAAUCCCUCUUCGAACCCUCCGUCGCUUUCCGCUUCAUCUCCAAACCUUGCGGAGAUCCCCAGUUCGUCUUCGCGGUCCAAUUUAUCGAGUCGGGGAUCCAUUGGCUCGGUUUGGGCAUGUAUAUCGACCAAGGCGACGUCCAUUGCGAAGCCUAAUGAUUAGGUAUUAUAUUGGGCUGGAUAAGGUUUCGGAGAAUCCGUAUGAUAGAACGAGCAAUCCGGAUGGGAUUAUUCAGCUUGGGUUGCCUGAGAAUAGAGUUAGUGUUGGUUCUCUUUUUAUUUAAUUUUUGUUAAUAUUCACCAUUCUAUUUUUUGUUUUAAUUGGCUGCUUUGGGGGAUUCAGUUAUGUUUUGUUUUGAUUGAGAAAUGGAUGGCAAAGAAUCUGAGGGAUUCUAUAAUGGGAACAGACGGUGGUGAUCUGAAUAUUCUUGGUAUCGCGACAUACCAGCCGUUCGAUGGAUUGAUGGAGUUGAAGGCUAUAGCAAAUUUCAAGUCUCAGGUUGUGGGAAGAGCGGUCUUAUUUGACUCAUUGCAGAUGGUAUUAACUGCUGGUGCAACUCCUGCAGUUGAGAUUUUAUGCUUUUGCUUGGCAGGCCACUGAAAUGCAUUCCUUGUUCCAACGCCAUAUUACACUCUGUAAUUUUUAUUUCUAACUCAAGCGUAUUAUUUUCUAAACAAAUGCUGAAGCAGUUAGUACAUUUAACUAUUAUUUAAAAAUUAGCUCUUGAAGUUAGUCAGGAAAACAAUCUGCAGAUUUGAUAGAGAUGUGACAUGGAUAACAGGAGUGGAGCUGGUGCCUUUUCACUGCCGCAGCAAUUUCAUAUUAAGUGUCACUACUCUUCGACAAGCUUAAAAUCAGGCUAGAAAACGAGGAUUAAAAGUUCUUGGAAUAUUGAUUUUUAACCCUUCAAAUCCUGUUGGCAAUGUACUGCCGCAAGAAACACUCUUUGACCUUCUAAACUUUGCCCAAGAAAGAAAAAUAUCCACAUUAUUUCUGAUGAAAUAUUUGCUGGGUCUCUGUAUGGGAACCAUGAAUUUGUGAGCUUGGCCCAAAUUCAUGAGCAUGAAGAUUUUGACAAGAACAGGGUUCAUAUAAUAUAUGGCCUCUCAAAAGAUCUCUCUCUUCCAGGAUUUAGGACUGGGGAUAUCUAUUCCUACAAUGAAAAUGUCUUAACUAUAUUUUCUUCUAUUUCUGCUCCAAGCCAGAGACUACUAGUUUCAAUGCUUUCAGAUACAAGAUUCAUUGAGGAAUAUAUUGAGACCAAUAAAUGGAGGAUUAAGGAAAUAUAUGACUUGAUUGUUGAAGGUUUCAAUCAAUUAGGAAUCAAGUGUGUAGAAAGUAGUGUUGGCUUAUACCGUUGGAUGAACUAAUUGUUUCUUACAGUGAGAAUGGAGAACUUGACUCAUGGGAUAAACUGUUGAAUCUUGCUAAGAUCAAUGUAACUCCUGGUUCAGCCUGCCACUGCAUAGAACCAGGACAGUUCUGGUGUUGUUUUACUACUCUAACUGAAGAAGACAUUCCUGUAGUCAUAGAACGACAUGCAAUGUUGCAGAAACAUGCAAGUCCCCUGGUUGAAAUGUAAAAUUUUAUAGUGAAUUUUGUCAGCCAUGAUUGCUGACAGCAUUCCUACAUAAGAGAGCUUUUUUUUUUGACAACCUACGUGGAGAGUUUCAGCUACUGACUUAAUGAAAAAGUGAAAUUCAUAUUUCUUGAACUUCACAGUAGUCAACAUGUGGUUACAUUAUGGAAGUUUUGUUUGGAAGUUGCUAGCUAAAACAAACUGGAAGAGAAGCUUCGUGGAGAGAACUGAAUGCAGGGUUAUUCUGAACCAAAAGACCGACCUAUAUCAGUUUCAGUUUUGGAUGAUGCCUCUUCCUCUGCAAUCCUCCAAUCAUUUUGAUGCCAGCACCAAAGACACAGCAGGCAAAAGCUUUCCCAUUUAUGAAUUCCUGAUAAUGACAGAGCGAUCAAGUGAGAGCAAAAGUUGUUUUCUGAGUCUCUUUUAGAAAAUAGCAGAUCAUUAAUAACAUGAUUUUUUUUUUUAUUUAAUUCAUGAUGUUGCCAGAAAAAGAUGGUUAAAUAUUUUUGCUCAUUGCUUUUAAUCGCUUUUUCCUUUGUAUCCUUCAUAGUAGUUUAAACAUAGCUUAACUUAAGAAAAUAGUUUUAGCAUUAAUGGCACUGAAAAGGAAGCAAGAACUGGAGAUUUACCAUUGAUAGAUUCUUUUUUCUCAUUUGAACAGCUUUUCUUUGGCAACUCCUUCUUCGGCUCAUCAUUAUCAAUUCUCCAAGUGUUGGUGGCCUCUUUGCCAUGGCAUUACUGCAACUUUCAUGAUCAAAAUGCUUGUUCUUUAGCUCUAGUGGAGUGUGGGAGCCGUUAUUGGAGUAUUCAACCUUUCCAGGAAAACCAGAAUUGGAUGGAUAUAAUGGAAAAAGACACUCCAAGAAAGAAGCACCUGUAAGGCUUGAAAUGCCAGUUUCAUAACUGCUUGCGCUGCUGUUAGAUUCAGAGGCAGGUGAGGAAGGGUUUUCUAACUGCUCAUUGAUAUCAAUUUUUGAGGAAGUUUUUAGCACUGUAACAGCUGUAGAAACUGCUGAUGAUAAUACCAGGCAAUUUGCCAAGGGAGAGGGUGCUGAGCUGAACGAAUCAUCAGUUUCAAAGCUGAAUGAUUCAAGAUCCAAGUCAAACGUUCCUUUAUGCCUGUGAUUGUCAUUGCCACCACUCUCCUUAUUGUCAAAAUUGUAAUCAUUAUGCUGUUGAGAGGCUUUCCAGGCUGUAAGAGCUGAAUCUAUUGAUGGCUGUGAGAAACAGGACAGAGGCUUUCCAGGUUUUUCCUUCCAGUUGAAAGGAACCGAGGCUACAAGCUUUUCUGGAGAUGGUAGAGCUAGAGUAACUGAAGAAACCACAGGACUCCAGUCCUUUUUCGCUACUCCUGGCCUUUCCUCCCAGAGAAACGGAAUUGAUGGUGGUUGCCUAUUGUACUUUGUUUUCGAGGGUUCAAUGACUUCAUUCUCCGCCAUUCUGGGAACAGAAAUGUGAAGCUAUGAUCUCGCAAUGUAUGGCAACCUGACGCCUGAACUGUUCCUCUUCGUGCAUAUAUAUAGCUGCAAAUAUGGUUGCAAUUGCAGAGGUGUGCUAAGUUAUCUAAACUUUGCCUUCUAACUGCACCAUUUUUUUCAAAAGAGGAGAUUAGGCGUACCAGCUCUCUCUACUUUCACAUAGGCUGGCAACUUCUUUAUGGUUUUGGUGCGUAGAAUUUUGUCCGCAAUAAUAUCCAGUCUGGGAGAUUAUUGAGUUUUUUUUUU
rnacentral:misc_RNA from 1 species